UCAUCUCUGUAUUCCCAGAAGUCCACAUGGGUCCUGGCACUGCAGCGCUUAUCAAAAAUAUGUCAAAUGCAUGAAAAGAAACCAGAGAUAUCCUUAGUGUCAAACCAGAGAAAUGAGUCUAAUAGUUACUCGGAGCACGGGAGUCUGAUAAGAAUCUCAUGGCCAAGCUAGUUAUGCCAAGGGCAGGAAGGCAGCAAUGGAGGAGGAAAGCAAGAAGCAACUGUACACCUGAGGAGUAUGAGAAGACUUGAUCCAGGCUUCACAGAGGUAAAGAAGGACUCACUGGAAAAGAUCAUGGUCAAAUUGAGUCCUGGAGAAUGAUGGUGUGUUGAAAA
rnacentral:lncRNA from 1 species